GUUGACCUCGGAACAGGUAGG
rnacentral:rRNA from 2 species